rnacentral:misc_RNA from 1 species
UUUCCGUAGGUGAACCUGCGGAGGGAUCAUUACUGAGUUUACGCUCUAUAACCCUUUGUGAACAUACCUAUAACUGUUGCUUCGGCGGGUAGGGUCUCCGCGACCCUCCCGGCCUCCCGCCUCCGGGCGGGUCGGCGCCCGCCGGAGGAUAACCAAACUCUGAUUUAACGACGUUUCUUCUGAGUGGUACAAGCAAAUAAUCAAAACUUUUAACAACGGAUCUCUUGGUUCUGGCAUCGAUGAAGAACGCAGC